rnacentral:rRNA from 1 species
GACGACGCUGGCGGCGUGCUUAAUACAUGCAAGUCGAGCGAGGCCUUGGAAUUGGAGUCCUUCGGGAUGAAGAGUCCUUGGCCUAGCGGCGGACGGGUGAGUAACGCGUGGGCAACCUACCCCAAAGUCCGGGAUAACAGUGGGAAACCGCUGCUAAUACCGGAUGACUUUACCUGAGGGCAUCCUUGGGUAAAGAAAGGUUACGCUUUGGGAUGGGCCCGCGUCCCAUUAGCUAGUUGGUGAGGUAACGGCUCACCAAGGCGACGAUGGGUAGCCGGCCUGAGAGGGUGAACGGCCACACUGGGACUGAGACACGGCCCAGACUCCUACGGGAGGCAGCAGUAGGGAAUAUUGCGCAAUGGGCGGAAGCCUGACGCAGCGACGCCGCGUGAGCGAAGAAGGCCUUCGGGUCGUAAAGCUCUGUCCUUGGGGAAGAAGGCGAAAGCUUGACGGUACCCAAGAAGAAAGCCCCGGCUAACUACGUG